rnacentral:rRNA from 1 species
UACAGAGGUCUCAAGCGUUGUUCGGAUUUAUUGGGCGUAAAGGGUGCGUAGGCGGCGCGGUAAGUCGGGUGUGAAAUCUCGGAGCUUAACUGCGAAACUGCAUUCGAUACUGCCGUGCUUGAGGACUGGAGAGGAGACUGGAAUUUACGGUGUAGCGGUGAAAUGCGUAGAUAUCGUAAGGAAGACCAGUGGCGAAGGCGGGUCUCUGGACAGUUCCUGACGCUGAGGCACGAAGGUCAGGGGAGCAAACGGG